GGAGAGGUGCGAGAGUGGUUGAAUCGGGCUGCCUGCUAAGCAGUUAUGGCUUAACAGCCAUCAUGGGUUCGAAUCCCAUCCUCUCCGCCA
rnacentral:tRNA from 1 species